rnacentral:sRNA from 1 species
AUUUAGGCUUUGUGAAAUGAGACUAACUAUCUCGUUUAAUUUCCUCCUUUUGCAUCUUAAUGUAGAUUACUUAUUGAUUCGCUUAUCAAGUGCGACAAGUCUCAGCGCUCUGCUUUGUAGUUUCCUUUUGCCUCCUGCUGGUUGCUUGAGUUGCACUAAACUUGGAACAUAAGAGCACGCUUGUGUCCAACAGUUUGUGUAGAUAGAUUCUCCUAGAUCCAAUUCUCUUAAGUAUCCAUUCUCUCCAAGAAUGUAAGAUAUUCGGUGUUUAAAACCCUCACUAACCAUGACGACUUUCUUCUCUUCGUCAAUGAUGAAACUCUCAAGUACUAAUGAAACUUCAGGUCCCGUAUUCACUUUCAAGAACUUGCUCCAAGACACCUUUUCGGUGUCUAGUUUCAAUGGUUGCAGAACAAAAUAAAAAUGAAAUUUUUAGUAUCUCAAAAUCUAGAUUUCAUACAAUCUAAAGUUGUCUCUUCCGUUGUAAAGUGUGUCAUCAUCUAAAAACCUCAAGAUUUUGUGGCUACGACAAGAUUUUUUAUUCUUCUCCAAGCAUCCGAAAGCGUAACUGCACGUGUCCCAUCCCUUCACGAGUUUGAUCGAC